UACAGAGGGUGCAAACGUUGCUCGGAAUUAUUGGGCGUAAAGCGCAUGUAGGCGGCACGGUAAGUUCACUGUGAAAGCCCUUGGCUCAACCAAGGAAGUGCAGUGGAAACUGCCGAGCUCGAGUUCUGAAGAGGGUCGCGGAAUGGCCAGUGUAGAGGUGAAAUUCGUAGAUAUUGGCUAGAACACCAGUGGCGAAGGCGGCGACCUGGGAAGAUACUGACGCUGAGAUGCGAAAGCGUGGGGAGCAAACAGG
rnacentral:rRNA from 1 species